AUACGGAGGAUCCGAGCGUUAUCCGGAUUUAUUGGGUUUAAAGGGUGCGCAGGCGGCCAUUUAAGUCAGCGGUUAAAUCGUGGGGCUCAACCCCAUUCUGCCGUUGAUACUGGGUGGCUUGAUUGCGGUCGAGGUUGGCGGAAUUCGUUGUGUAGCGGUGAAAUGCAUAGAUAUGACGAAGAACACCGAUUGCGUAGGCAGCUGACCAGACCGCAAAUGACGCUCAUGCACGAAAGUGCGGGGAUCGAACAGGAUUAGAUACCCUGGUAGUCCGCACAGUAAACGAUGAAUACUUGUUUUCGGCGAUAUAAUGUCGGAGGCAAAGCGAAAGCGAUAAGUAUUCCACCUGGGGAAUACGCCGGCAACGGUGAAACUCAAAUGAAUUGACGG
rnacentral:rRNA from 1 species